AUUGAACGCUGGCGGCAUGCUUUACACAUGCAAGUCGGACGGCAGCGGGGUAGUGCUUGCACUACUGCCGGCGAGUGGCGGACGGGUGAGUAAUAUAUUGGAACGUACCGAGUAAUGGGGGAUAACCAAUCGAAAGAUUGGCUAAUACCGCAUACGCUCUGAUGCGGAAAGCAGGGGACCUUCGGGCCUUGCGUUAUUCGGGCGGCCAAGAUCGGAGUAGCUAGUUGGUGGGGUAAGGGCCUACCAAGGCGGCGAUCAGGAGCGGGUCUGAGAGGCUGAUCGGCCACAUUGGGACUGAGACACGGACCAGACGACUACGGGAGGCAGCAGUGGCGAAUGUUGGACAAUGGGCGCAAGCAUGACACAGCCAUGGCGAGUGUGUGAAGAAGGCCUUCGGGUUGUAAAGGACUUUUGUUAGGGAAGAAAAAGGAGCGGUUAAUACCAGUCUUUGCUGACGGUACCUAAAGAAUAAGCACCGGCUAACUACGUG
rnacentral:rRNA from 1 species